CCUACGGGUGGCAGCAGUGAGGAAUAUUGGUCAAUGGGCGCAAGCCUGAACCAGCCAAGUAGCGUGAAGGAUGACUGCCCUACGGGUUGUAAACUUCUUUUAUAAAGGAAUAAAGUGAGGCACGUGUGCCUUUAUGUAUGUACUUUAUGAAUAAGGAACGGCUAACUCCGUGCCAGCAGCCGCGGUAAUACGGAGGGUCCGAACGUUUUCCGGAUUUAUUGGGGUUAAAGGGAGCGUAGAUGGGUUGUUAAGUUAGGUGUGAAAGUGUGCGGCUCAAACGUAGCAUUGCAAUUGAUACUGGCAGUCUUGAGUACAGUUGAGGUAGGCGGAAUUCGUGGUGUAGCGGUGAAAUGCUUAGAUAUCACGAAGAACUCCGAUUGCGAAGGCAGCAUACUAAACUGCCUCUGACAUUGAUGCUCGAAAGUGUGGGUAUCAAACAGGAUUAGAUACCCUAGUAGUC
rnacentral:rRNA from 1 species